UAAGCGACUAAGCGUACACGGUGGAUGCCCUGGCAGUCAGAGGCGAUGAAGGACGUGCUAAUCUGCGAUAAGCGUCGGUAAGGUGAUAUGAACCGUUAUAACCGGCGAUUUCCGAAUGGGGAAACCCAGUGUGUUUCGACACACUAUCAUUAACUGAAUCCAUAGGUUAAUGAGGCGAACCGGGGGAACUGAAACAUCUAAGUACCCCGAGGAAAAGAAAUCAACCGAGAUUCCCCCAGUAGCGGCGAGCGAACGGGGAGCAGCCCAGAGCCUGAAUCAGUGUGUGUGUUAGUGGAAGCGUCUGGAAAGGCGUGCGAUACAGGGUGACAGCCCCGUACACAAAAAUGCACAUGCUGUGAGCUCGAUGAGUAGGGCGGGACACGUGGUAUCCUGUCUGAAUAUGGGGGGACCAUCCUCCAAGGCUAAAUACUCCUGACUGACCGAUAGUGAACCAGUACCGUGAGGGAAAGGCGAAAAGAACCCCGGCGAGGGGAGUGAAAAAGAACCUGAAACCGUGUACGUACAAGCAGUGGGAGCACGCUUAGGCGUGUGACUGCGUACCUUUUGUAUAAUGGGUCAGCGACUUAUAUUCUGUAGCAAGGUUAACCGAAUAGGGGAGCCGAAGGGAAACCGAGUCUUAACUGGGCGUUAAGUUGCAGGGUAUAGACCCGAAACCCGGUGAUCUAGCCAUGGGCAGGUUGAAGGUUGGGUAACACUAACUGGAGGACCGAACCGACUAAUGUUGAAAAAUUAGCGGAUGACUUGUGGCUGGGGGUGAAAGGCCAAUCAAACCGGGAGAUAGCUGGUUCUCCCCGAAAGCUAUUUAGGUAGCGCCUCGUGAAUUCAUCUCCGGGGGUAGAGCACUGUUUCGGCAAGGGGGUCAUCCCGACUUACCAACCCGAUGCAAACUGCGAAUACCGGAGAAUGUUAUCACGGGAGACACACGGCGGGUGCUAACGUCCGUCGUGAAGAGGGAAACAACCCAGACCGCCAGCUAAGGUCCCAAAGUCAUGGUUAAGUGGGAAACGAUGUGGGAAGGCCCAGACAGCCAGGAUGUUGGCUUAGAAGCAGCCAUCAUUUAAAGAAAGCGUAAUAGCUCACUGGUCGAGUCGGCCUGCGCGGAAGAUGUAACGGGGCUAAACCAUGCACCGAAGCUGCGGCAGCGACGCUUAUGCGUUGUUGGGUAGGGGAGCGUUCUGUAAGCCUGUGAAGGUGUACUGUGAGGUAUGCUGGAGGUAUCAGAAGUGCGAAUGCUGACAUAAGUAACGAUAAAGCGGGUGAAAAGCCCGCUCGCCGGAAGACCAAGGGUUCCUGUCCAACGUUAAUCGGGGCAGGGUGAGUCGACCCCUAAGGCGAGGCCGAAAGGCGUAGUCGAUGGGAAACAGGUUAAUAUUCCUGUACUUGGUGUUACUGCGAAGGGGGGACGGAGAAGGCUAUGUUGGCCGGGCGACGGUUGUCCCGGUUUAAGCGUGUAGGCUGGUUUUCCAGGCAAAUCCGGAAAAUCAAGGCUGAGGCGUGAUGACGAGGCACUACGGUGCUGAAGCAACAAAUGCCCUGCUUCCAGGAAAAGCCUCUAAGCAUCAGGUAACAUCAAAUCGUACCCCAAACCGACACAGGUGGUCAGGUAGAGAAUACCAAGGCGCUUGAGAGAACUCGGGUGAAGGAACUAGGCAAAAUGGUGCCGUAACUUCGGGAGAAGGCACGCUGAUAUGUAGGUGAAGUCCCUCGCGGAUGGAGCUGAAAUCAGUCGAAGAUACCAGCUGGCUGCAACUGUUUAUUAAAAACACAGCACUGUGCAAACACGAAAGUGGACGUAUACGGUGUGACGCCUGCCCGGUGCCGGAAGGUUAAUUGAUGGGGUUAGCCGCAAGGCGAAGCUCUUGAUCGAAGCCCCGGUAAACGGCGGCCGUAACUAUAACGGUCCUAAGGUAGCGAAAUUCCUUGUCGGGUAAGUUCCGACCUGCACGAAUGGCGUAAUGAUGGCCAGGCUGUCUCCACCCGAGACUCAGUGAAAUUGAACUCGCUGUGAAGAUGCAGUGUACCCGCGGCAAGACGGAAAGACCCCGUGAACCUUUACUAUAGCUUGACACUGAACAUUGAGCCUUGAUGUGUAGGAUAGGUGGGAGGCUUUGAAGUGUGGACGCCAGUCUGCAUGGAGCCGACCUUGAAAUACCACCCUUUAAUGUUUGAUGUUCUAACGUUGACCCGUAAUCCGGGUUGCGGACAGUGUCUGGUGGGUAGUUUGACUGGGGCGGUCUCCUCCUAAAGAGUAACGGAGGAGCACGAAGGUUGGCUAAUCCUGGUCGGACAUCAGGAGGUUAGUGCAAUGGCAUAAGCCAGCUUGACUGCGAGCGUGACGGCGCGAGCAGGUGCGAAAGCAGGUCAUAGUGAUCCGGUGGUUCUGAAUGGAAGGGCCAUCGCUCAACGGAUAAAAGGUACUCCGGGGAUAACAGGCUGAUACCGCCCAAGAGUUCAUAUCGACGGCGGUGUUUGGCACCUCGAUGUCGGCUCAUCACAUCCUGGGGCUGAAGUAGGUCCCAAGGGUAUGGCUGUUCGCCAUUUAAAGUGGUACGCGAGCUGGGUUUAGAACGUCGUGAGACAGUUCGGUCCCUAUCUGCCGUGGGCGCUGGAGAACUGAGGGGGGCUGCUCCUAGUACGAGAGGACCGGAGUGGACGCAUCACUGGUGUUCGGGUUGUCAUGCCAAUGGCACUGCCCGGUAGCUAAAUGCGGAAGAGAUAAGUGCUGAAAGCAUCUAAGCACGAAACUUGCCCCGAGAUGAGUUCUCCCUGACCCUUUAAGGGUCCUGAAGGAACGUUGAAGACGACGACGUUGAUAGGCCGGGUGUGUAAGCGCAGCGAUGCGUUGAGCUAACCGGUACUAAUGAACCGUGAGGCUUAACCU
rnacentral:rRNA from 1 species